GACGAACGCUGGCGGCGUGCUUAACACAUGCAAGUCGAACGGAAAGGCGCCUUUGGGGGUACUCGAGUGGCGAACGGGGGCGUAACACGUGAGUAACCUGCCCUUGACUUCGGGACAACUUUAGGAAACUGGGGCUAAUACCGGUUAGGAAUCCUUUCUGCAUGGUGGGGGUUGGAAAGCCUCGGCGGUUUUGGAUGGACUCGCGGCUUAUCUGCUUGUUGGUGGGGUAGUGGCUUACCAAGGCUUUGACGGGUAGCCGGCCUGAGAGGGCGACCGGCCACAUUGGGACUGAGAUACGGCGCAGACUCCUACGGGAGGCAGCAGUGGGGAAUAUUGCACAAUGGGCGGAAGCCUGAUGCAGCAACGCCGCGUGCGGGAUAACGGCCUUCGGGUUGUGAACCACUUUCAGCAGGAGUGAAGCUGUUGUGACGGUACCUGCAGAAGAAGCACCGGCUAACUACGUG
rnacentral:rRNA from 1 species